UUGAACGCUGGCGGAAUGCUUUACACAUGCAAGUCGAACGGCAGCACGGGGGCAACCCUGGUGGCGAGUGGCGAACGGGUGAGUAAUACAUCGGAACGUGCCCGGUCGUGGGGGAUAACGUAGCGAAAGUUACGCUAAUACCGCAUACGAUCUGAGGAUGAAAGCGGGGGACCUUCGGGCCUCGCGCGAUCGGAGCGGCCGAUGUCAGAUUAGGUAGUUGGUGGGGUAAAGGCCUACCAAGCCGACGAUCUGUAGCUGGUCUGAGAGGACGACCAGCCACACUGGGACUGAGACACGGCCCAGACUCCUACGGGAGGCAGCAGUGGGGAAUUUUGGACAAUGGGCGCAAGCCUGAUCCAGCCAUUCCGCGUGCAGGACGAAGGCCUUCGGGUUGUAAACUGCUUUUGUAUGGAACGAAAAGGCUCUGGCUAAUACCUGGGGCUCAUGACGGUACCGUAAGAAUAAGCACCGGCUAACUACGU
rnacentral:rRNA from 1 species